AUGUGUUUAAGAAUCAUGACAGCUUCUAGUAUAGCACUUAAACUACAUACAAUUGUUAGUGUCAGCUCCAAAUAUCAGUUGUGGUUUUCCAACUUCAAAAACUUUCACUUAAGUUCUUCCAAAGAUCAGGAAAGAGCAGAUCUGAAUGUAGCAAAACAUGCAGCCAUACCUAAAAUCGACGUGGAUGCAAAGAGCUUUUAAGUGACACGAAGAAGGCUUUAAAGUGUGUAGCCCUCACUCUCACAAAAUGGGAACCCAUCAUUCAUCCAUCAAUUCAAACCAACAUCAAUAUUACAGCGGAAACUCCUUCUGCAGUAAGUCUAUAUUCCGAGAAUCACAAGCUUCCAGCAUGUCAUUCCUAGAAGCACAGCUUAAUGAAAUUCUCAAAUAUUGCCAGGCAUUAUCUGCCUUGGGAUUCAUAGCAAGUGCCCGCACAUAGUAACGAAUGGACUCCUCGUACAUACCCUGGUUGGCAUAACU
rnacentral:misc_RNA from 1 species